CGGAGCUUCUUGUCGUCUUUGUGGGUCGAGGGCGACACUGAAGCAAAGGGAUUAUCACUGUAUGGAAAUGAACUGGAAUUGAAGUCAAUGAAGAAAAGAAGACCAUGUUCUGCUUCAUGAAGAGUGAGUGAAAAAUCAGUGUUCCUGGUUCACCACUCCAACAGCACAGAAGGACAGUUGUUCUUCAUCCUGGAGCUUCCCUACAGAACCAAGCAUAUGAAUAUAUAUUCCAGCACAAAUGGGCUCAUCCUAGAAGGAUGCUCCGAAGGUCUGAGAAGCACUAUUCACUCCAUGGGGGAUGGUGGUAAUAGGCUGUCAGGAUCCUGCAGGAGCCUCCUCCAGGUGGGGGCCUGGAAGCUGGAGGAAACCAGACCCCACUCAAGUUCCUUGAGGAACAGGAACAGAAGCAGGUGUGCCGGCCUUAGGUCAGAGGGGCCUUCUCAUCCCCACCUGACAACACUUCUC